rnacentral:misc_RNA from 1 species
AAGACUAUAGACCUGCGGAGUACCUGCGGAAGGAUCAUUACAGAGUUACUACUCCAAACCCAUUGUGAACCUUACCUAUGUUCUGUUGCCUCGGCGGCGCGGUCAGCGCCCCUCUGAAAAGAGGACGAUGCCCUCCCGCCGGCAGCACCAAACUCUUGAAUUUUACAGCGGAUUACAGUUCUGAUUUAAAAACAAAAAAAACAAGUUAAAACUUUUAACAACGGAUCUCUAGAUCGGAAG